AUCCAGAUGACGAGUCCCAAAUAGGGCAAUAUGUGAAUCCUGGAU
rnacentral:hammerhead_ribozyme from 1 species